rnacentral:rRNA from 1 species
ACGGCUACCACAUCCAAGGAAGGCAGCAGGCGCGCAAAUUACCCAAUCCCGACACGGGGAGGUAGUGACAAUAAAUACUGAUACGGGGCUCUUUUGGUCUCGUAAUUGGAAUGAGUACAAUCUAAAUCCCUUAACGAGGAACAAUUGGAGGGCAAGUCUGGUGCCAGCAGCCGCGGUAAUUCCAGCUCCAAUAGCGUAUAUUAAAGUUGUUGCAGUUAAAAAGCUCGUAGUUGAACCUUGGGUCUGGCUGGCCGGUCCGCCUCACCGCGAGUACUGGUCCGGCUGGACCUUUCCUUCUGGGGAACCUCAUGGCCUUCACUGGCUGUGGGGGGAACCAGGACUUUUACUGUGAAAAAAUUAGAGUGUUCAAAGCAGGCCUUUGCUCGAAUACAUUAGCAUGGAAUAAUAGAAUAGGACGUGCGGUUCUAUUUUGUUGGUUUCUAGGAUCGCCGUAAUGAUUAAUAGGGACAGUCGGGGGCAUCAGUAUUCAAUUGUCAGAGGUGAAAUUCUUGGAUUUAUUGAAGACUAACUACUGCGAAAGCAUUUGCCAAGGAUGUUUUCAUUAAUCAGUGAACGAAAGUUAGGGGAUCGAAGACGAUCAGAUACCGUCGUAGUCUUAACCGUAAACUAUGCCGACUAGG